rnacentral:rRNA from 1 species
CAUAGCGGCGCGAUUCGCCCUUUUCCGGUUGAUCCUGCCGGACCUUACUGCUAUCGGGGUGGGACUAAGACAUGCGAGUCGAGCGUCUCUAGCUAUGUUGAGACGCGGCAGACGGCUCAGUAACACGUGGCUAACCUACCCUCAGGACGAGGACAACCCCGGGAAACUGGGACUAAUACUCGAUAGGCGAGGAUGCCUGGAAUGGCUUCUCACCUAAAGGCCAUUGAAGACAUGCUUUCAAUGUCGCCUGAGGAUGGGGCCGCGUCCGAUCAGGUUGUUGGUGAGGUAAUGGCUCACCAAGCCUAUAACCGGUACGGGCCGUGAGAGCGGUAGCCCGGAGAUGGGUACUGAGACAAGGACCCAGGCCCUACGGGGCGCAGCAGUCGCGAAAACUCCGCAAUGCACGCAAGUGUGACGGGGCUACCCCGAGUGCCUUCCGCUGAGGAAAGCUUUUCCUUGGUAUAACUAGCCAGGGGAAUAAGGAGAGGGCAAGACUGGUGUCAGCCGCCGCGGUAAUACCAGCUCUCCGAGUGGUGUGGAUGUUUAUUGGGCCUAAAGCAUCCGUAGCUGGCUGAGUUAGUCCCCUGUUAAAUCCAGCGAAUUAAUCGUUGGUGUGCGGGGGAUACUGCUCGGCUAGGGGACGGGAGAGG